UCCGUGUUGGUGUAACGGUCAACAUUUCACGUUUUCACUCACUUCAAGUGGUUUGAGAGCCGUGAGGCUCGGGGUUCGAUUCCCCGACGCGGAG
rnacentral:tRNA from 1 species